AGUGCGUGUGCUGGGGCGAGCGGGAGCGGGCGAGGAUGGGCACAGGAUAGAGGCAGAGCCACCCACGCCGCCGCGGCCCCACGCUGGGCGACAGAGCCUCCAGUUCCCCUUCAAUGGUGGCGGGUCGCCGGAGCUCUGAUCGCCGGGAACCCUUGCCGCUGCUGUCCUGCGACCCCAAGCAGGUAUAGACACGUGUGGCCGUUUACGCUGUAGGAUCCUCAUUCCCACUGGCUUUGAACAUUUUGGGGACUUACAAUGCCGCCACCCGCGGACAUCGUCAAGGUGGCCAUAGAAUGGCCGGGCGCCUACCCCAAACUCAUGGAAAUUGAUCAGGGCUGUAGGUUCUGCCUGAGGUUGCCACCAUUAACUUAAUGGGACAUUUUUUGAGACUCAGAAGCCACGUCCCUCCACUACCUGCUGGCAGAUGUCUCAUCAUGUCCAUUGCCACUCAAGAAAGGAGGAUGAAUUGCCAUUAGUACAUCCACUCAAAAGCACGCAGACCAACUAGUAGCAAAGAGAGACAAGAAGUACAAGAAAAAAA
rnacentral:lncRNA from 1 species